GUCAAGUCAGCAUGGCCUUUAUGUCCGGGGCUACACACGUGCUACAAUGGUCGGUACAAAGGGUCGCCAACCCGCGAGGGGGAGCCAAUCCCAAAAAGCCGAUCGUAGUCCGGAUCGCAGUCUGCAACUCGACUGCGUGAAGUCGGAAUCGCUAGUAAUCGUGAAUCAGCGAUGUCACGGUGAAUACGUUCCCGGGUCUU
rnacentral:rRNA from 1 species